rnacentral:rRNA from 1 species
AACGAACGCUGGCGGCAUGCCUAACACAUGCAAGUCGAACGAGACCUUCGGGUCUAGUGGCUCACGGGUGCGUAACGCGUGGGAACCUGCCCUUAGGUUCGGAAUAACUCCCCGAAAGGGGUGCUAAUACCGGAUAAUGUCGUCGGACCAAAGAUUUAUCUCCUUUGGAUGGGCCCGCGUUGGAUUAGCUAGUUGGUAGGGUAAAAGCCUACCAAGGCGACGAUCCAUAGCUGGUCUGAGAGGAUGAUCAGCCACACUGGGACUGAGACACGGCCCAGACUCCUACGGGAGGAAGCAGUGGGGAAUAUUGGACAAUGGGCGAAAGACUGAUCCAGCAAUGCCGCGUGAGCGAUGAAGGCCUUAGGGUUGUAAAGCUCUUUUACCCGGGAUGAUAAUGACAGUACCGGGAGAAUAAGCGCCGGCUAACUACGUG